AGAUUAUAACAAUGAUGGUAACUAUCAGAAUUAUAUUUUAUAAAAGCUCAGUCAACCAUCCAGCCAAAAAAAAACAAAUCCAAAGUUUUGAACUAUUUUGUUUAGCUAAAAACUUUCUAUGUUUGAUCUUAAUUCUCUACUGUUUUGAGGUACAUGUUUUAUUCUGUCUAUCUGAUGAUUUAGAUCAUCUGUCACGUUUGGUAUGUGGAUACAACAUGAAUCAUUUGAAAGUCCAAUGUACCUACAUACUCCAUGUUUUUAAUAGUAGUAAGUCUAAAGUUAAUUGAUUUUGCAGUGUCAUUUUACUUGUAGCUUGUAUUUAUACAUUGAGUUUAUUUAACCCACUUUGAGUAACAUUAGCUAAUGUUUCUACUUGGAAUGAAAGAUUGUGGAGAGUUAUCUUAUUUUGAAGAGUUGUUAACUGUGGUAAAAAUAUAGAUUUUAAUACCCAUCCUAUUUUAGUUCCAGUACUUGGCAAUUGCCAGGUAUCAUCUUCUCGAUUUACCCAAUUCCACUAUCAAGGCCGCAAGGGGGAUUUCUUCCAGAGAGGGUAUAGAGUUAUUAAGUCAGAAGUCCAUUAUUUGCUUUUGUCCUUCAUGAAAAGAUGGUCCUGACUCUGGGUGGAUCUAACAAGGAUCCUGGAACUCCAGUUCUGCUUUUUGGAUUUACCAGGAACUUCCCAGUCCAGACGAUUAGAAUUACAACAUUAUUUACUUCAACUGGUAUAAUCUUCUGCUUUCGGUAACCAU